rnacentral:lncRNA from 1 species
AAAGAGUGCAUGAAGUGAAGAAAAGCAGCGCAGGCCCUGAACCAAAUUGAAUGACUGGCAGGAGAAAAAGCUCCAGAUGAAGAAUAUCGUUAAGGAGUCCAACAGAGUGAAAUCCUUGAAUAUAGUCUUGCAGUGAAGAAUUCGUUAUCUCAGUAGUUGAGACUUUUCUGGUCCUUUUUUUGACAGAAGAAGGUCAGAAAGUGAUUGGUUAUUAAAGACCUCAGCAAUGAAACUUCUCCUGAAAGAAGAGGAUAGAACUUCAAAGGAAAAUGAAAUGCCUGAUUGGUUUAUUCAUCCAUUUAGCAAAAAGGUGGCUGAUGACAGAAUAUCAAACAAUCAAUGUUCUAUACAGCACCUGGAUACUGGAGCUUUUAGCAUAUUCUUCCUAUAACAUUUGAAGUUACCCAUUGUCCAAAUAUUUUUGUACUAAAGAGUUGGCAACUUUACUUAAGUGGUUUGUGUUUUCUCUUCAGACAUAUACCAGAGAGGCAGGACUCUUAUUCAAACCUUAUUUGAGUCAAACCUCUCAAUACUGCAAAACUAGACUGGAAAUGACAUGGGUAUA